rnacentral:misc_RNA from 1 species
GGGGAAACUUCGAAUGAAGGUAAAGUGUCCAGCAUUUGAGGAGCUUCUUCCUGAAGCUUAGCUGCUGCCACCAACCUAGGUAGGAGCGCCUCCUCCGAUGUACAAAACUUCAGAAUCCGGUGGUCAGAGGAGAAGAGCCUUAGACUAUCACGCCGGCUAAGCUGCCGGAGAUCGUGACGGUGAGUUCGUUGAACUAUAUUGGUCCGGUUAACAGUUACAAUGCCGGUGGUACAUUUCUGGACGAUUUGUGGUGGUCCUCUUAUCAUCGGGCCCUAUUUUGGAGAAGAGAAUCGUUGGAAUAAAAUAAAAUCU